rnacentral:rRNA from 1 species
UACGUAGGGUGCAAGCGUUGCCCGGAUUUAUUGGGCGUAAAGGGCGCGUAGGCGGCCACGCACGUCCGUUGUGAAAUCGCCCGGCUCAACUGGGCGGGGUCAGCGGAUACGGUGUGGCUAGAGCAAGCUAGGGGGCAAUGGAAUUCCCGGUGUAGUGGUGGAAUGCGUAGAUAUCGGGAGGAACACCAGUGGCGAAGGCGGUUGCCUGGAGCUUUGCUGACGCUGAUGCGCGAAAGCGUGGGGAGCGAUCCGG